UGUGAGGGUUUUAUGUGUAAGCUCGAUAUAAAAAUAAAUAAAUAAAUAAAUAAAGGAAAUGUUUACUUUUACAAGUUUUCAUAUUCAGGAAGGUUGAAUAUGAAACCUUCCUGAACCUUCCUUCGUUUUGUUUAUGUUCGAAACAAAACAAAGCCGUUUUGUUUCGAACAUAAUUGAAAAACGUUAACGAGAAACUGGUUGUGCCUCAGUGGGAGGAUAAUUUGUCAUUGCAGGAAGUCGGCGACACACUGGCUCGGUUUCACUCAAACGUCCGUCGUGGUGUUUUUCAUUUAAGAAGAUUUGUUGCACUCGUGGCUUGUGUCUGACGGUAAUCUGGCAGGAAGGCGGCAGAUUAACGUCGUCAAAGAAACUGAAGAUAGGAGUCGAAUCUGAGACCAGGAAUGUGAAUAAGGUGCUGCGUUUCACUUUUCCGAAACAAGAAGAACGCCAAAGUCCACCAACUUACGCCGGUCUGAUAAAGGCAUCCGGGCAACAAAUGCUGAUCUGACAUGGAUUUACUUUCGCGCGUCGCUCCGGGGAACUAUUAUCAGAGGGUGUACCAGAAGCUCGGAGAGCCUCGCGUUCAUUGACAGAUCUGGAUCCAGCGCGGGUCUGAGUGUGUCCUCUUACGGCCUUCGCUUC